rnacentral:other from 1 species
CGUUCCCUGGGUUGUUGGCCAGUCGAUUUGUCCUAAACCCUUAUGCGACACCCAGGAGGUCUUUUUUCGUGGUUGAUGUGCAAGUCCGUUCGGCGGAAAGCCUAAUACCCGUUAGAGGCCACCGCCUUGAACCGCUGGGUUCAAGGACCUAUCCGGCAGCGGCAACCUGGGGAAUUU